rnacentral:rRNA from 1 species
GACGAACGCUGGCGGCGUGCUUAACACAUGCAAGUCGAACGGAAAGGCCCCUUCGGGGGUACUCGGGUGGCGAACGGGUGAGUAACACGUGAGUAACCUGCCCUUGACUUCGGGAUAACUUCAGGAAACUGGGGCUAAUACCGGAUAGGAAUCCUUGCUGCAUGGUGGGGGUUGGAAAGCUUCGGCGGUUUUGGAUGGACUCGCGGCUUAUCAGCUUGUUGGUGGGGUAGUGGCUUACCAAGGCUUUGACGGGUAGCCGGCCUGAGAGGGCGACCGGCCACAUUGGGACUGAGAUACGGCCCAGACUCCUACGGGAGGCAGCAGUGGGGAAUAUUGCACAAUGGGCGGAAGCCUGAUGCAGCAACGCCGCGUGCGGGAUGACGGCCUUCGGGUUGUAAACCGCUUUCAGCAGGGGCGAAGCUUGUGGUGACGGUACCUGCAGAAGAAGCACCGGCUAACUACGUG